rnacentral:rRNA from 1 species
GACGAACGCUGGCGGCGUGCUUAACACAUGCAAGUCGAGCGGUAAGGCCCUUUCGGGGGUACACGAGCGGCGAACGGGUGAGUAACACGUGGGUGACCUGCCCUUAGCUCUGGGAUAAGCCUGGGAAACUGGGUCUAAUACCGGAUAUGACUCCAUGACGCAUGUUGUGGGGUGGAAAGCCUUGUGCGGCUAGGGAUGGGCCCGCGGCCUAUCAGCUUGUUGGUGGGGUGAUGGCCACCAAGGCGACGACGGGUAGCCGGCCUGAGAGGGCGACCGGCCACACUGGGACUGAGACACGGCCCAGACUCCUACGGGAGGCAGCAGGUGGGGAAUCUUGCGCAAUGGGCGAAAGCCUGACGCAGCGACGCCGCGUGGGGA